GGUGUCGUAGUGCAAAGGUUAACAUGUCCGCCCAUGACGCUGAAUGCCUGGGUUCGAAUCCUGACGAGACCA
rfam:Stomoxys calcitrans breed 8C7A2A5H3J4 unplaced genomic scaffold Scaffold112, whole genome shotgun sequence.